rnacentral:lncRNA from 1 species
UGUAUAAUAAACAUCCACCGUCACGAUAACCGCUGGAUCUCCGCGCGCGCAGUCGUCCGCAGCCAUCCGAUCUAAGUCCUCACACGUGACUCGGUCAUCUCCCUCAACAUAUUAAUUCCUGAAACAACAAAUCAGUUGCGGAAGCAAUCGCUCUGUUUCGGCCUCGAUAGAGCUGCAGACGGCUAUAGAAUUUUUUCUGUCAUAAAGAUUUAAUACGGGGUGAUCAACAGAUUGAGCGGACAACUUUUGC